AAAACAUGAAACCAUUUCUCUUUCUAACGGCGCUGUACUUCAUCUCUCUCUGGCUUCUCUCGCUGCAUUGUCGUUCCCGUCUGUCUCCGCCGCUCUAUCCAGAAGUAUCUUCGCUGUACACUCUUAACCUUCCCCUUUUUAGUUUCUUCGAUCCAUUUUCAAAGGAACUCCAGUUUGAAAAGGGAAAAGGAACCCCUCUCAAAGAUAUCCCUAAUGAUAAAGAUUGGGAAGACAUAAAGUUCGAUGAGUUGUCCAUGAGCUGAAGAACAAAAGUCGCAAGCUUCACGUUACCGGCACAGCAGCUCCGGCUAUGGCGAUGAAGGCAUCUUUUCAUCAUCUACCUCUUUUUCUGGCGUUGUUCCCUUAUGUCAUUUGUUCAUGAUGGUUGCUCAAUUACAUUGCAAAACCAUAUACUUUAAACUUUUAAGUACACCGAAAAGUAGUAUAGUGUCAAAACCAUAUACCACUAUCUUCUUGUUUUUAUAUGAAUACUUUCAUUGUUGUUGGAGGUAUGAACGAUAGUUGAGUGGAGUCACAGUUACACCCUUAUAUGAGUGCAGUGUCAUUUUUGUUUGAA